UACGGGGGGGCAAGCGUUGUUCGGAAUUACUGGGCGUAAAGGGAGCGUAGGCGGUGCGGCAAGUCUGGUGUGAAAUCUCCGGGCUUAACCCGGAGCGGUCAUUGGAAACUGCCGUGCUAGAGUGUGGAGAGGAGAGUGGAAUUCCCGGUGUAGCGGUGAAAUGCGUAGAUAUCGGAAGGAACAUCAGUGGCGAAAGCGGCUUCCUGGACCAGCACCGACGUUCAGGCACGAAAGCGUGGGAGCAAACAGG
rnacentral:rRNA from 1 species